rnacentral:tRNA from 1 species
CGUGGCCGACCUGCUGGCCGGCGGGUCGGCGUACCGCGUCGACGUGGCCUCGCCCGGCGAGGCGCGGCGGCUGCUCGACGCGGCCGGCCACACC